rnacentral:rRNA from 1 species
GAUGAACGCUGGCGGCGUGCCUAAUACAUGCAAGUCGAGCGAACGGACGAGAAGCUUGCUUUUCUGAUGUUAGCGGCGGACGGGUGAGUAACACGUGGAUAACCUACCUAUAAGACUGGGAUAACUUCGGGAAACCGGAGCUAAUACCGGAUAAUAUUUUGAACCGCAUGGUUCAAAAGUGAAAGACGGUCUUGCUGUCACUUAUAGAUGGAUCCGCGCUGCAUUAGCUAGUUGGUAAGGUAACGGCUUGCCAAGGCAACGAUGCAUAGCCGACCUGAGAGGGUGAUCGGCCACACUGGAACUGAGACACGGUCCAGACUCCUACGAGAGGCAGCAGUAGGGAAUCUUCCGCAAUGGGCGAAAGCCUGACGGAGCAACGCCGCGUGAGUGAUGAAGGUCUUCGGAUCGUAAAACUCUGUUAUUAGGGAAGAACAUAUGUGUAAGUAACUGUGCACAUCUUGACGGUACCUAAUCAGAAAGCCACGGCUAACUACGUG